CCUACGGGAGGCAGCAGUGAGGAAUAUUGGUCAAUGGACGAGAGUCUGAACCAGCCAAGUAGCGUGAAGGAUGAAGGCCCUAUGGGGUGUAAACUUCUUUUAUAGGGGAAUAAAACAGGGUAGGCAUACCCUCUUGUAUGUACCAUAUGAAUAAGGAUCGGCUAACUCCGUGCCAGCAGCCGAGGUAAUACGGAGGAUCCGAGCGUUAUGCGGCUUUAGUGGGUUUAAAGGGAGCGUAGGGGGAUUGUUAAGUCAGUUGUGAAAGUUUGCGGCUCAACCGUCAAAUGGCCGUUGAAACGGGCAGUCUUGCGUACCGUAGAGGUGGGCGGACUUCGUUGUGUCGCUGU
rnacentral:rRNA from 1 species